AGAAUCCCCUCAAGGUAACGUAACCAUAGCAACAUUUACAAGCGACGGAAGUAAAGUGUUAAAUGUCAACAACCCUCGUCACAUCAUCGACAGCCAACAGAUCAACACGUUCAGCCACACAUUCACCCUCCGCAUCAACCAAACACAGUGUGAGGACAACGUGACCUUUGUGUGUAGGGGCCGAUGUGAGGACAGAAGUGUUGGAGAGAAGGUCUUUACCAGCAUUAAACAUGUCAUUAGCGUUCCAAAGGACCCAGGCUGUGAUCCCUAGAAUAAUAACAGCGGGGAACAUAACGAAUGUGACAUGCCAAGGAAUUGAAUUCAGAAACCGCACAAUCUUUUGGGAGUACAGUCGACUUGGUGCCCCUUUCUCUAACUUAAACUUUGGAACACAAAAUAUUUUCGGCAUGACCCCGCCCCUAGCUGGGUUGUCCUGUGUGGUACUCGUUAGAAACGUACGAACGUUUGCUUUCCCCAUUCAGGCCAAUGGCGACCAGGUUAGAUGUAGGUCAGGGUCAACGGGUGUCCUAUCAACGCCUGUCACUCUAAAUGUGGUUAACCGGUUGUAAU